AUGAUGAACGCUAGCGACAGGCUUAACACAUGCAAGUCGAGGGGCAGCACAGGUAGCAAUACCGGGUGGCGACCGGCGCACGGGUGAGUAACGCGUAUGCAACUUACCUAUCAGAGGGGGAUAACCCGGCGAAAGUCGGACUAAUACCGCAUGAAGCAGGGGCCCCGCAUGGGGAUAUUUGCUAAAGAUUCAUCGCUGAUAGAUAGGCAUGCGUUCCAUUAGGCAGUUGGCGGGGUAACGGCCCACCAAACCGACGAUGGAUAGGGGUUCUGAGAGGAAGGUCCCCCACAUUGGUACUGAGACACGGACCAAACUCCUACGGGAGGCAGCAGUGAGGAAUAUUGGUCAAUGGCCGAGAGGCUGAACCAGCCAAGUCGCGUGAGGGAUGAAGGUUCUAUGGAUCGUAAACCUCUUUUAUAAGGGAAUAAAGUGCGGGACGUGUCCCGUUUUGUAUGUACCUUAUGAAUAAGGAUCGGCUAACUCCGUGCCAGCAGCCGCGGUAAUACGGAGGAUCCGAGCGUUAUCCGGAUUUAUUGGGUUUAAAGGGUGCGUAGGCGGCCUUUUAAGUCAGCGGUGAAAGUCUGUGGCUCAACCAUAGAAUUGCCGUUGAAACUGGGGGGCUUGAGUAUGUUUGAGGCAGGCGGAAUGCGUGGUGUAGCGGUGAAAUGCAUAGAUAUCACGCAGAACCCCGAUUGCGAAGGCAGCCUGCCAAGCCAUGACUGACGCUGAUGCACGAAAGCGUGGGGAUCAAACAGGAUUAGAUACCCUGGUAGUCCACGCAGUAAACGAUGAUCACUAGCUGUUUGCGAUACACUGUAAGCGGCACAGCGAAAGCGUUAAGUGAUCCACCUGGGGAGUACGCCGGCAACGGUGAAACUCAAAGGAAUUGAUGGGGGCCCGCACAAGCGGAGGAACAUGUGGUUUAAUUCGAUGAUACGCGAGGAACCUUACCCGGGUUUGAACGCAUUCGGACCGAGGUGGAAACACCUUUUCUAGCAAUAGCCGUUUGCGAGGUGCUGCAUGGUUGUCGUCAGCUCGUGCCGUGAGGUGUCGGCUUAAGUGCCAUAACGAGCGCAACCCUUGCCACUAGUUACUAACAGGUGAUGCUGAGGACUCUGGUGGGACUGCCAGCGUAAGCUGCGAGGAAGGCGGGGAUGACGUCAAAUCAGCACGGCCCUUACAUCCGGGGCGACACACGUGUUACAAUGGCGUGGACAAAGGGAGGCCACCUGGCGACAGGGAGCGAAUCCCCAAACCACGUCUCAGUUCGGAUCGGAGUCUGCAACCCGACUCCGUGAAGCUGGAUUCGCUAGUAAUCGCGCAUCAGCCAUGGCGCGGUGAAUACGUUCCCGGGCCUUGUACACACCGCCCGUCAAGCCAUGGGAGCCGGGGGUACAUGAAGUCCGUAACCGCGAGGAUCGGCCUAGGGUAA
rnacentral:rRNA from 1 species